GACAAUCGAUCAGGUGUGGUUCAGGUCAAUACAAAGGGAGUUCAUGUGAAAGGUUCCGCGCGUGGGCCGGGAUCGGUCUCGAAUAAGUGGGCCGGAUGUUAAACCCAAACGGUUCAGAAACUCGUCCGGCAUAGCCGCACAUCAUCCAUCCAAUUGGUGGUCAAGCAUGAACGCUGCAGUAUUAGUUUGACUAGACACAAGUAGUCAACUCCUACUUGGGAAAACAGGGGUGAAACAGUACGAUUAGACGGUACAUGUACCAAAAAGGUGAAUUAAUUCUAAUCCAACAAACAAAUUGAUCUAUUUUGUCGUUAAAAGAAUUAGAUUACCUUUUUCCUCCUCGUCUCCCAUGUCAAACUCCACCUAUACAUCGUCUUCCUAAUACAAGACAAUAAAUAGUGAAGGUCGUGUUCCAGUUUGGAACUUCUAGCAAUAAAGAACCCAAUCCAGAUAAUGAAAAGAAAAGCCUGGAUCGACUUGUUACCGAUUCUGCAGUGACA
rnacentral:lncRNA from 1 species